rfam:Oryza rufipogon genomic scaffold, chr04
ACUAAUUACAGCCCAUGAUUUUCCGCGCUCAACUUUGAUCGUCUGUCUUAUUUAAAUUUUUUUUAUAAUUAGCAUUUUUGUUGUUAUGAGAUGAUAAAAUAUGAAUAAUACUUUACUCGUGACUUAUGUUUUUAAUUUUUUUCAAAAGAAUUUUAAAUAAAACGAAUGGUUAAAGUUGGACACGGAAAACCAUGGCUGUAUUUAUU